CCCUUAGAUGUUCUGGGCCGCACGCGCGCUACACUGACGAUGGCAACGAGUUUUUCCUUCGCCGAAAGGUGUGGGUAAUCUUUUGAAACAUCGUCGUGCUGGGGAUAGAUCAUUGAAAUUUUUGAUCUUGAACGAGGAAUUCCUAGUAAGCGCGAGUCAUCAGCUCGCGUUGAUUACGUCCCUGCCCUUUGUACACACCGCCCGUCGCUACUACCGAUUGAAUGGUUUAGUGAGGACUCCUGAUUGGCGCCGCCGCCCCGGCAACGGAGCAGCGGACUGCCGAAAAGUUGUUCAAACUUGAUCAUUUAGAGGAAGUAAAAGUCGUAACA
rnacentral:rRNA from 1 species